UACGAUGAUAUUGACGGGGCGUAGUUCCUUCCUUGCUUAUUCCCAAAGUCCACUUUCAUCUCUUUAGACUUGCUGACAUUUAUGAGUAGGUUGUUGACCGGACCCCAGCGGGUCAGGUCCUCUACUCCUUUCUGGUCGGCCUUUUCCUUGUUGUCUUUGAUCACAGCCGCGUCGUCAGCAAACUUGAUGAUGGUAUUGGAGUCGAAAGU